AUGUACUUGAUGUUGAUUAUCCAACUUGGAUAACUGUGGCAAUUCUAGAGCUAAUACAUGCACCAAAGCUCCGACUUUUGGACGAGCGCAUCUAUUAGAUUAAAACCAAUCGGGUUAUUUAACCCGUUAAUUGGUGACUCUGAAUAGCUCUGGCUGAUCGCAUGGUCUUGUACCGGCGACGUAUCUAUCAAGUGUCUGCCUUAUCAACUUUCGAUGGUAGUUUAUGUGCCUACCAUGGUUGUAACGGGUAACGGAGAAUAAGGGUUCGACUCCGGAGAGGGAGCCUGAGAAACGGCUACCACAUCCAAGGAAGGCAGCAGGCGCGCAAAUUACCCACUCUCGGAAUGAGGAGGUAGUGACGAAAAAUAACGAGACCGUUCUCUUUGAGGCCGGUUAUCGGAAUGGGUACAAUUUAAACCUGUUAACGAGGAUCUAUGAGAGGGCAAGUCUGGUGCCAGCAGCCGCGGUAAUUCCAGCUCUCAAAGUGUAUAUCGUCAUUGCUGCGGUUAAAAAGCUCGUAGUUGGAUCUGCGUCUCAGGACCUGGUCCAUCCAUUGGAUGAGAACUGGGCUCCUAGGCUAAUAUUGCCAGUUUUCCCUAUGUUACCUUGAUCGGUUGCGUAGGGUGGCCAGCAAGUUUACCUUGAAAAAAUUAGAGUGCUCAAUGCGGGCUAAUGCCUGAAUACUCGUGCAUGGAAUAAUGAAAUAGGAUCUCGGUUCUAUUUUGUUGGUUUUCUGAUCUGAGAUAAUGGUUAAGAGGGACGGACGGGGGCAUUCGUAUCGCUGCGUGAGAGGUGAAAUUCUUGGACCGUAGCGAGACGUCCAACUGCGAAAGCAUUUGCCAAGAAUGUCUUCAUUAAUCAAGAACGAAAGUCAG
rnacentral:rRNA from 1 species